ACGCUUUAAUCGCCGAAUCCGGUCUUUGGAGCGGGGGACCCAGAAAAAAGGGGCGUAUCGCCAAAUGGCGUAGGGCAACCUCAUUGGCCCGAGCCCGUCAGCUAACCUCGCAGGCGUCAAGAGGGUACUU
rnacentral:sRNA from 1 species